rnacentral:tRNA from 1 species
AUAGCUCAGUUGGUAAAGAGAACCUGCCUGAAAUGCAGGGGACCCCAGUUCAAUUCCUGGGU